AGGAUCAGAUACAGCAGAGGGAGAAAGACUUGCCCGGCUGGUGCUGGCCUUGAAGGUGGAAGGCGCUGUGACCUAAGGAAUGUGGGUGGCCUCUAGGAGCUGGAAAAGGCAAGACGUGGAUUCUCUCCUGGAGCUUCCAGAAGGGCUCCCAGGCCUGCCGACACCUUGAUAUUAGCCCAGCGAGACCCUUUUCAGACUUCUGACCUCCAGAGUUACGUGGAUGCUGUUUGGACCACAGGCUGAGGCCACGCCCUACAGAAGCUGGAGGAACGAGCUGGAGGGAGCAGAGCCACAGAAGAGCCUUGGAAUUUCUGCCUUCACGUUUUGACUUGAGCUCUGAGACUUACAACUUAUGAUGCAGACUGAACAAAUGUUUAUUGAGUGGCUUAAUGUGUGUGAAUCCUGUGCUAGACGUGUUCCCAUACAUAUAAUCUCUGAUUUAAUAUUUUCAAUGACCCUCGAUUUUCCACGCGAGGGGGCUGAGGCUUGGAGGUGUGAAGUGACUUGACUGAGCUGGUAUUUGUAAUAAGUGGUAAAAACUGCGAUUUCAGCCCAGGUGUUCUCAAUAAGGGGCAAAGCUGAGAUUUGUGACCCCGUGGCUGGAGCCAGGUGUAGCUUAUCGAUGGUGCCGGCCUGGGAUCCUUGAAGCGGACUUGAGAUGAAGCAACAAGAGGCAGGCCCUGAUGAAGACGCCUCCAGGUUAUAAAGGAAGGCCCUUUCUCUUCUGAAAAGUUGUCUGCAGCAAGGACUGGUCAUUAUGCCUAUCCUGGGCGCUAACUGGGGACCCCAGGCCACCUGUUGUGUGUAUCUUUGUGGAAAAUAAUUCUGCCCAAGGCAGGGUAACUCUGAGAACUGAGACACGUGAAUAGUUCCCAGCUGAUGGAACAGCUGAAGCAGUCAAGCCUCCCAGGCCUUGGUUACAGCAACACAGCGCAUAACACGCCAGCGUGACUCCAACUGCCCCGGGGAGUCAGCAGGUUGAUAUUUUCCACCCAACACUUUGACUGCCCAGGCGUCGAUCUUACUAGCACGAGAGUAACUGCUUUGGUUUACUUUAAGAAUUAAAGAAAGACAACCAUGAUCACACCUGAUCGCCCUCUGAAAACAGUGUCUGUUCUUUGAGCUAAAGCAUGGAGUACCUAAUUAAAUUGCAGUCAAGAGAAGGUAUCUGGUUAGGUGAGAGGACUGGUGGAUGGAAAAUUAUGUCUCAGAUUCAUAGGAUGACAGAACUGGGAGGAGCCCUGGAGAUCAUCUGGGUCCUCAGCUUACAGAGGAGGAAACUGAGGCUCUGAGGUCACCCAAGGUCACAUAGCCGCCAACUGGUAAUUCUGGACUUCAAACUCAAGUCUCGUUCUUGGGCAGUUUUCUUUAAUCUACAACAUCCUGCUGUCUUGAAUACCAUUUUGGCUGCAUCAUUCAUGCUGUGUGACCUUACACAAGUAUUUAACCUCUCUGAUCUUUGCUCAUCUGUAAAAUACAGGCAAUCAUAGUUACCUACCUCACGGAGUGAUGGUAAGGAGUAAGUGAGAUUGUAUCUGUAAAGUGCUUUCCA
ensembl:lncRNA